UACAGAGGGUGCGAGCGUUAAUCGGAAUUACUGGGCGUAAAGCGUGCAUAGACGGUUAUUUAAGUCGGGUGUGAAAGCCCCGGGCUCAACCUGGGAAUUGCAUUCGAGACGUGAAUAGCUAGGGUACGGUAGAGGGAAGUGGAAUUUCCGGUGUAGCGGUGAAAUGCGUAGAUAUCAGGAGGAACACCAGCGGCGAAGGCGGCGCUCGUGGGCCGGUACUGACGCUGAGGAGCGAAAGCGUGGGGAGCGAACAGG
rnacentral:rRNA from 1 species